AGCGCAACGUUCUAUUGAGGCGAGCGCGGAGCGCGUGCUCCUACGAGCACAUGGGCAGCAGGCUGAGCUUCUCGCUGCAAAGCGGCCGCGUUCGGAAGCCCUUUUUUGCACCGCUCUGGAAUGGAUUUUAUGGUGGGAAACAGCCUGAAAUUGCCAGUCCCAAGCCCAAUCUCUCGACCAUUUUGGAAUAAGCAAUGGAGCAGUCCAGCAACUUGUUCCCUCCAAAACAUUCAAGGAUUUACAGAACCACCGAAAUCUCUGGAGAAUGUCAACAGUGGAUGAAGCUGAUGGUGGAAAAUAAGUGGGCCAAUUCUGCCGGCCCCUGGCAUCCCUGGUUUUUCUUUUGUUACUGAAGGUGAAUUGGGAAGGAAACGCCUCUGUUCUCUGAGGAUAUUUCAUCAGUUGUUUGCCAUCUUUACUGGAAUUGCUUCAGUUAUUAGUUUCACAAAGAGGAGAAACAAUGCCUGUUACACUCAGUGGAGAAGUGUUUAUUUUUCACAGCAGUUCAAGGGCAGCACCUGUGUGUUGAGCAGGUUUAUGCAUUUCAGAGUCUUUCUGCAAAAGAUUUCAGCCAAAGAGAAACAAAAGAAAAUGAAAGUUGCUGAGCUACUGUGUUGGAUUCCUUCCUGGGCUGUUUCACAGUCAGCCAGGUACACUGACCCUGGAUCAGCUUUCCAUCAGGUUGUCAGUGACGGUGAUGGCGAAGUUGGUGCGUGCUCUGAAUUGGCUUGUUUCAUCGUUGGCUGUGAAGCUAUUCUGGACUCUCAAGGCACAAACAAAUAGGCUUUUGGAAGGCGGGUGGUUUUUAAUUCUAUAUCCCAAGGAUAAUCACAGAUGAAGAAAAGAUGAUCUUGGGUACUUGGCAAUACCAAAUGGAGUGCUUGCUGCUGUUGGGAGCAAUCAAAAGGAGGAAGAGACUGGAAUAUAUCUCUAACCUUAGGAGAGAUGGAACAUACCAAGAGAAAUGGAAUGCUUCAGGAACGACAUUGCAGGUGGAAAACUUGCUAGUUAUGUUGCAAAGAGGCCUCCUGAGGAUGAGGGUGACACAUUACAUGAGGAUCUGCAGAUCUGUCUGGAAAAUAUGAACCAUGAGACAAGCUGGGUCACCAUUAGAUAAGUAUUACUGAUGACUCACAUUGUUAUGAUGUUGAUAGGAAUGUAGAGUUUGUGUGUGUUUACUUAAAGUACUGGAGCAUAAGUAUAUAUUAAAAUAUAUGAGACAGUUGUCCAAUGGCUAGAACACAGAGCUGGGCGGUAGGAAUCCUGUCUUUUGCCCCUCACUGUUUGACUGGUUGGCCAUGUGUCCUUGGGCAAGUCACUUAAUUUCUUUGUCCCUCAGUUUAUAUGUCUAUAUAGUUAAUGCUGAUAUACUCCCCUCCCUCAAGUGGGAUAUGGGGAGGGUUAGUUAAUUAAUAUUUGUAAAGUGCCUUGAGACUUACAAAUGAAAACACUAGAAGUGCUAAAUUAUUGUAGUUAUUGUGGAUAUUUUUAAUACUGGCAGUUAGUGGCUUUCCUGUUUUAUUUUUUUUCUUUCCAGCACCUUAUUCCCUUCUCCAGAACAGUGACUGAAAGAGUCCUGAAGCAGGUAAGGAGACAGAUGUUUUGUUGGGAGCAUAUUACAUUUGAUGCACAAGGGGUGAAAUCCUGGCCCCAUUGACAUCAGUGGCAAAACUCGCAUUGAAUACAGUUAAGAUAGGAUUUUGCCCUGGGUACCUGUGCUCAUUAUAUCAUCUGAAUUCUUGAAUAAAUUCAGAGCAGAAGGCCCAGGUGAUCUGGAAUGUGUCCAUGUCUGCAAGAGCACAACCAAAGAGUGACAGAACUUUUUGUAUGUCACAAAAGGUUGAAGCUUUGAGGCUAAGCUUCAGGUUGGUGCAUUUUAUUUAAAAAUUAAGUUUCUCCUCUAAAACCAUCAGCAAGAGAUUCUCCUUUUGACCUUCCUUCUCUUUACCCUUGUAUGGGAACACACAAAUGUGAAUAAAACGUGUGUUUCUGGAAUUAAUCACCGUCUAGUAGAAUUUACGGAACAUCAUCCUUAUACUCUCUGCCUACUCACUAGCCUUCCAUGCCAAGAGUUGUAUAUUUAAAACUGAUUACAUAGGUGAUCUAUAGGACCUGGGGGCCCUGAUUCCUGAAUGAGGCCUCUGUGCAUUACCACAAUAAAAUAACAAGUGGUAAUAACAAUGACGAAGCUUUGGCCAGGGAGAACAAAUAUGGUUGAAGGUGAUAGUUGCAAAGAGCUGAAGAAUUGAAUUGGAGAGAUACAGGACGCCUAGGAGAUGUCAGGAGCUGCGGAGGAGAAGGCUCUGGCAUCACCAGUGUCAAAGUUAUGUGAAGGGACAGAAUGGAGGUUGGCCUUAAAUGGGAGCAAAGAUCUGUGAAGAAGUUGGAGCAAGUCAUGGAGUUUUAAAAACCAAGGCGAGACGUUUUGACCUGGAUGGCGAGUCCCUGAGGGGAGCGUUUGAGUAUGGGGAGUGAGGGAGUCGUGUGUGUUUGUACGGGAGAGAAGGCCGGCAUGGGCAUUCUGUCUUCAUGCUUGUUUGUCCUGCUAGUUUGUUUUAUUCACCAGGUGUAUGAUUUGAAUCCCUGUUGUCCAUCACAAGUUUCCCUGUCUAUUCUAGACUCUAGAGCAGUGUUGGGGGAUCCAGUUACAAUAUUCCGUGUAGUAGUGUAAAUGGGAACUUACCUAUGUCUCUGAAUGGGAUAUGCCCAAGGCUUUAGCACCAUUCGACAAUAUAGGUACCAUGUUAUGUCCUACCCUUGCUACAAAAAUGAACCAUGUUGUUACAGUGCAGGGGAAAAGUGUGUUGUAACAGGGUCCCCAGUCUGAUUCGAUUUGUUAUGUAGAUGUGGCCAUGCUGUUUGUCAGUGAAGCAGAGAUUGCUUCUGUAACCCUUUUGGUUCAGGAAUCAUCAUUAUCUAUUCAUUUGAGGCUGACUCGUCUCACUGCAAAAAUGCUGAAAGUGGAACCUUUUAAAAAAACAUUUUGCUUUUCAGAGACUCUAGAUCUUCUCUCUCCUCAGGCAGUGAAUGCAGGGCUCUGGUCUCAGAAAUGUUAUUGGAGAGAUUUUCUAGUUUGACAUGUCAGCCUGCUCCACUGAUGGUAAAAAUGAGUUUUUAAGAGCUGCUAAAGGCUCUUUGCCAUUGCUUGGUGGAAAUACUCUGGGGGUAAGGCAGUGGAAAUCCCAGCCCCUCCUCUCUUUACCUUUUUGGGUAUUCUCUGUGGAGGGGAGGAUUCCAACCGGAAGUGAUAUUCUGGUGCUUCCCCUGUGCACUGUCAGAGGUUUAGUUAUUCAAAUAUGGCUCUCAGGCGUAUCGCCCUGCUGCACAGUGCAGCUAUGAGUUUGAGGUGGCUAAUCAAAGGGGCUUUCCAGACACAUAAGCCAUUAUUAGCAAGUUUACACUUAAAUGUGUCUGUGGGUUAAAUCUGCGAACUGCGAAUAACUUACAAACGGCUGCUCAGCCCUGAAAAUAAUACUCUCGCAAAGUUUCCGAGAAGCGUUAACAACUUUCCUAAAUAUUUUUACCCUUGUGAAUUCUCAAAUGUUCCUUUGCACUGAGAAGUUUUUGAGAACAAUAUAGAGCGCACGCUCGCUCGCGCUCUC